rfam:Bacillus alcalophilus ATCC 27647 = CGMCC 1.3604 strain AV1934 contig00006, whole genome shotgun sequence.
CCAUAAGAGGUUCGCAAACUCCCUCUAUAAAAAACUAUACAAGA